rnacentral:rRNA from 1 species
GAUGAACGCUGGCGGCGUGCCUAAUACAUGCAAGUCGAGCGAACAGACGAGGAGCUUGCUCCUCUGACGUUAGCGGCGGACGGGUGAGUAACACGUGGAUAACCUACCUAUAAGACUGGGAUAACUUCGGGAAACCGGAGCUAAUACCGGAUAAUAUAUUGAACCGCAUGGUUCAAUAGUGAAAGACGGUUUUGCUGUCACUUAUAGAUGGAUUCGCGCUGCAUUAGCUAGUUGGUAAGGUAACGGCUUACCAAGGCAACGAUGCGUAGCCGACCUGAGAGGGUGAUCGGCCACACUGGAACUGAGACACGGUCCAGACUCCUACGGGAGGCAGCAGUAGGGAAUCUUCCGCAAUGGGCGAAAGCCUGACGGAGCAACGCCGCGUGAGUGAUGAAGGUCUUCGGAUCGUAAAACUCUGUUAUUAGGGAAGAACAAAUGUGUAAGUAACUAUGCACGUCUUGACGGUACCUAAUCAGAAAGCCACGGCUAACUACGUG